UAAGAAAGAGAGGGUAGGUAAGAAAGAGAGGGUAGGUAAGAAAGAGAGGGUAGGUAAGAAAGAGAGGGUAGGUAAGAAAGAGAGGGUAGGUAAGAAAGAGAGGGUAGGUAAGAAAGAGAGGGUAGGUAAGAAAGAGAGGGUAGGUAAGAAAGAGAGGGUAGGUAAGAAAGAGAGGGUAGGUAAGAAAGAGAGGGUAGGUAAGAAAGAAAAUGUAGGUAAGAAAGAGAGGGUAGGUAAGAAAGAGAGGGUAGGUAAGAAAGAAAAUGUAGGUAAGAAAGAGAGGUUAGGUAAGAAAGAGGGUAGGUAAGAAAGAAAAUGUAGGUAAGAAAGAAAAUGUAGGUAAGAAAGAAAAUGUAGGUAAGAAAGAAAAUGUAGGUAAGAAAGAAAAUGUAGGUAAGAAAGAAAAUGUAGGUAAAGAAAAGAAGAAUGCAGAGAAUAUAGAACGUGUUAGCUGGGUUAAAAGCUGUUGGUGGGAGAAAGGGGUUAACAAAGUAGGUCAGAAGUAAUACUCAAGUUCAAUGAAACAGUGUCAAUAGUGUAAUUUUAGGACGAAUCCUAAUUUCCACUUAAGUCAAAUUUAAUGUGGAAGUUAGGAUUCACCACUUAAGAAUAGAAGAAAUGUUAAGAUGAAAUUCAAGUACGCCUACAUAUGCAUAAUUUGUAUAUACUGUAAACAGAAAG